rnacentral:rRNA from 1 species
GUGGGGAAUCUUCCGCAAUGGACGAAAGUCUGACGGAGCAACGCCGCGUGAGUGAAGAAGGUUUUCGGAUCGUAAAGCUCUUUCGUUAGGGACGAACGUGCUCUUUGUGAAUAAUGAGGAGUAAUGACGGUACCUAAAUAAGAAGCCACGGCUAACUACGUGCCAGCAGCCGCGGUAAUACGUAGGUGGCAAGCGUUGUCCGGAAUUAUUGGGCGUAAAGCGCGCGCAGGCGGGAUAUCAAGUCUGUCUUAAAAGUGCGAGGCUCAACCUCGUGAGGGGACAGAAACUGGGAUUCUUGAGUGUCGGAGAGGAAAAUGGAAUUCCAAGUGUAGCGGUGAAAUGCGUAGAGAUUUGGAAGAACACCAGUGGCGAAGGCGACUUUCUGGACGAUGUCUGACGCUGAGGCGCGAAAGCUAGGGGAGCGAACGGGAUUAGAAACCCCGGUAGUCC